UACGUAGGGCGCAAGCGUUGUCCGGAAUUAUUGGGCGUAAAGAGCUCGUAGGCGGUUUGUCGCGUCUGCUGUGAAAACCUAAGGCUCAACCUUGGGCUUGCAGUGGGUACGGGCAGACUAGAGUGCGGUAGGGGUGACUGGAAUUCCUGGUGUAGCGGUGGGAUGCGCAGAUAUCAGGAGGAACACCGAUGGCGAAGGCAGGUCACUGGGCCGCAACUGACGCUGAGGAGCGAAAGCAUGGGGAGCGAACAGG
rnacentral:rRNA from 1 species